AUUGUUAUAACAAAGCAAAACAAGCUGCUCCUUUUGGACUAUUUUGUUGCUGGGUAGUUUGGCCCAUUUGUGAUAUUGCUCCCAAAAAGAACUUUGGGUUUCUUGAGGAAGUGCUUCCCUCUAAAGGGCAAGCAGGGGUACCUGGACAGGCGGCGGGCUGCCUCAAGUUUGUUAUCUCAUUGGAAACAUUUUUGUCUGGCCUAGCAGGUGAUCCUAGGUCUUGGCCCACUUGGCCCUAUAAUUUGAUGGCCUCUGGCAGCGUUUCUGGCCUGAAUAGCGUCCCCAUGUGGUGCACAAAGCAUUGGUUUCACCUGUUCCUCACAUUGUUUAGGUUUUUUCUUUUGCAGACUAUGACAGGGCCUUUGCAGAUACCUCCAGAGCUUGCCUCUCCUGCAGAGGAUGACUUGCUGAUGCCCCAAGUGCCUUCUUCCAGAAGGAAGCGUCUUCAGAGGCAGAAAAAAGCGGAGCAGGGAUGAUGCUUACACCUCCUUGCAGUUGGAGAGCUUCAGAUCCUGGGCUCUGGAUGCCCAGCUAUAGCCGGAUUUUUCCGGAGCUCCUGUGGCACUUGGCAACAAUUAAUAAUUAUGAGGUCCGGGCACUAUCCGUAUCUGGAUAGUGGGCCACAGUAUUGUGCAUUGGGCCGCUGACAGAGCUCGUCAGUCGGGAUUGGGAGAUGGCCUGGGCCUUCCACAGCACGUGCAGGUGUCCUGGAUCUCCAGAAGGGGGAUGCGGUGGAGUGAAUUCUUGCCACUCAUGAAAAGGCGCGUCCUCCUGCUUGGCCCACCUUCAGCGAUUGUGGUGCAGCUUGGCGAAAAUGAUAUGGUUUCUUUUCCUUGCUAUACGCUGCGUACUGUUAUUUUACAGGACCUAAGGGAGCUGGCGGCUAUGGUGCCUAAUGCAAAAUUGAUUUGGUCAUAGUUGCUUCAGCGCCGCAUUUGGCGGGGCAGUCCUUGCCCAGCAUCCACUGAGAAAGUUAGGAAGCGGAUUAAUUCCGCGGUGGGCAAGUUGGUGGUGAGCUUGGGCGGAUUGGUGAUUCCUCACCCUCGUAUUUCCUUUAAGGAGGAGGUCUUAUACAGGGCUUAUGGGGUUCAUCUUUCCACGUUUGGGAAUGAUGUAUGGUUGGAUGCAGUGGUGUCCAAGUUGAGGGUGUGGUUUGCUUUGUGAGUGGUUGGCGGCGAGCAUAAGGGCUCGGGUGGCGGUUAGGCAUUGGUUAAAUUGG